CUCACCUAGAGGUCUAAUGUGGUGAAAGAGAGUUUAUGGUGGUGGCUGCUGUGUGUAGAUGGAAGGACGGCGAUAAUGAUACAUCAGUUGACAUCACUUGUUUAUAUGAAGGGUGGAACUUGAGGUUCUGUAGGGAUUGACUAGAGGUGGAGAUAAGGUGCUAGCUUCUGGACAGUGUCAGCUGAAAACAGAGUAGCCGAUGGUUAGCUGUUUAGUCAUAGCUGUAGGUAUUUUAUCCUAGUGUCAUGGUAUAUUCUCAGAUUGUUCUUUAGGUCAUAGUUAUUCUAGUCAGAUGUCUCUCUGUGUCAUAUUGAUCUACUGGAGAGUGUUCCAACUCCAGACACUGGUAUGCUCUUCUCUCACCCUUGCGAUUUCUGUGUUAAUAUUUAUUGUGAAGCAAAAACUGUGAUAGGUUAUUACCAGUUUUGCAAUCUGCAAAAACGUUACCUGUCGUGUGAGGUCUCCUCUGGCUAAGCGACUGCUGUUACUUGUUGCAUACGAAUAAAUAGAUUUUAGCUGUCUAUUGAGGUCAAAGAUAAUUUUCCUUUUGUUGUCCGCCAAAUUCUGCUCUCUUUUCUGUUGGGGUACACAUGUAAAUUACAAUUUUCCUGAUGCUAAAUGAGUUUUCCAAUACUGAGGAAAAAUAUAUACAUUACUAUGCUAACUGAAGUUGCAAACAAAAUACAAAUUUGAUUACGGGUACAUAGUCGUGAAGCAUCAUUUUGCAUUGGAUAAGUAUUCCAUUUUUCUGAAACAUGAGUAAAGGUUAUGUGUUGUUAGGUUUAAUGUGAGUAAGAGAGCGAUUCUUUGGAUUCGAAGACUAAGAGCGUCUCAAGCAGAUUCUGUAAAAGGGCUCGUCCUGAAUAGUAACCGCUGAUUUAACAAUUUUUCUGUCCUGAACAGAUCCUGCAAAAUCAGCCAUAUAUGUAUUUUUUUUUGUGGGAUCCUGCAUGUUUCGGGCCUUGUCCUGCAGAUAAUCAAGAUUGGAGUCCUUUUUUUACAGGACCUGUAAAAAAAAAAC
rnacentral:lncRNA from 1 species